AGGCAAAGCGACUGUUUGACAACAACACAAGCUAUCAGAUUAUGGUUGGAAAGAAAUGAGCAGGGCAAAAGAGAAGAGCAAAACAGUAAAUAAACAAAAGAGAUGAAUUGAAUGGAAAUGCAAAAGAGAAAAGAUUUGAGUAGGAAUGCGAAUGCGGAUGCGAAUGAAAAAAAUGAAUGAAAUAGCUGCUGAUAAAUGGAAUGCAUCCUAUGCAAGAACAAAGAGUUUGGAAAUUGAGUGCAAUGACUUGAUUUCCAGAGUGAAGUAUUCAAUUGACCGUUGAAAAGUGGGUCGAGUGGGUUUCAAAGAUCAAUUGCUCAAUCUUUGGUGGCUGCAACUAUUCAUUUCUUUUUCAUCCGACAGUAUGCGUAUGUUUUGUUUUAUCUUGAGAUUUUGAGUGGGUCGCAUUCGCUUUUCAUUUCGCUUUCGCUUCUACCCGCCUAGUGGCAUUCGCCAUCCUUUUCGCUUCGCAGCUUAAUUUAUCAGUAUGGGCAUGCAUGGAACGCAAUCCACGUUGUGCAUUGCGUUUACGUAGAUUAGCAGCAUAGAACUAACUGCGAAUUUGUCAUUGCCAACAAGUGUCAUUCAGACAAUGUAUGAAUGGAUUAGUGUAGUACAUGCAACUUGUAUUUGCUAUUGUAGAUGGAAAAGUAGAAUAGUAGCUAAGGGUGAGAUUUGUAAAGAAAUGAAACUGUGAAAGCAAAUUAAUUUAUGUGGCUAAAAUUGAUCAAGUACUUUUCUUUACACUGUACUAGAUCAGCAGGCUAUGAUUACUACUAGUGGAUGCUUGCAAUCAUUGUUUGUACAAUCAUUCACAAUCACAAAUUACACCUAUUUUCACAUUAUUUUCCACCAAAGAUCCUAUCGCUUGCUGCUCAUGUAAAAAAUUCUAGAAUUCCUUCUACCUUACACUUUGUACUGCCUUCAUUAUCAAAACUGCAUUAUCGGUCAGUGUCAUCUUUGCCCUACUCUUGUCUUAUCGUCUUAUUCGCUUUGCCCAAAACAUGGUGGACGAAAAACGCUUUUCUAUGCAUGUCUAGGCUUUUGCCUUAAUUAGUUAACUUCUGUCGCAAUCCCGAUUGUUGCUUGCAUCCGGCGACUGCCACACCAUUUCACUGUCUUUCAUCGUUUCUUCUUAUUCCUUUGUU
rnacentral:lncRNA from 1 species